GUUGAAACCUCGGUUCCCGUAAGAUCACCGAUGUUAAGCAAUACUGAGCCUGGUCAAUAUCUAGAUGGGUGACCGCUUGGGAAUACCAGGUGCUGUAAG